rnacentral:rRNA from 1 species
GAUGAACGCUGGCGGCGUGCCUAAUACAUGCAAGUAGAACGCUGAAGCUUGGCGCUUGCACCGAGCGGAUGAGUUGCGAACGGGUGAGUAACGCGUAGGUAACCUGCCUCUUAGCGGGGGAUAACUAUUGGAAACGAUAGCUAAUACCGCAUAAAAGUCGAUAUCGCAUGAUAUUGAUUUGAAAGGUGCAAAUGCAUCACUAAGAGGUGGACCUGCGUUGUAUUAGCUAGUUGGUGAGGUAACGGCUCACCAAGGCGACGAUACAUAGCCGACCUGAGAGGGUGAUCGGCCACACUGGGACUGAGACACGGCCCAGACUCCUACGGGAGGCAGCAGUAGGGAAUCUUCGGCAAUGGGGGCAACCCUGACCGAGCAACGCCGCGUGAGUGAAGAAGGUUUUCGGAUCGUAAAGCUCUGUUGUAAGAGAAGAACGAGUGUGAGAGUGGAAAGUUCACACUGUGACGGUAACUUAACAGAAAGGGACGGCUAACUACGUG